rnacentral:rRNA from 1 species
CAACAGCCGCGGUAAUACGUAGGGUGCGAGCGUUAAUCGGAUUUACUGGGCGUAAAGCGUGCGCAGGCGGCCCGUUAAGACAGGUGUGAAAUCCCUGGGCUCAACCUAGGAAUUGCGCUUGUGACUGGCGGGCUCGAGUACGGUAGAGGGGGGUGGAAUUCCUGGUGUAGCAGUGAAAUGCGUAGAGAUCAGGAGGAACACCGAUGGCGAAGGCAGCCCCCUGGGCCUGUACUGACGCUCAUGCACGAAAGCGUGGGGAGCAAACAGGAUUAGAUACCCUGGUAGUCCACGCCCUAAACGAUGGGUACUAGCCGUUUGGUGCGCGAUAGCGCUGAGUGGCGAAGCUAACGCGUGAAGUACCCCGCCUGGGGAGUACGGCCGCAAGGUUGAAACUUAAAGGAAUUGGCGGG